GCCAUCUUAGCUCAGUCGGUAGAGCACUCCCAUGGUAAGGGAGAGGUCGCCGGUUCAAAUCCGGCAGAUGGCU
rnacentral:tRNA from 1 species